CUAUUUAAAAGUCAGCCUUUGUCGCUCAGUAGACAAAAUAAGGCAGCUCCUGCAUUGCUUUCAUUGUUACUCAUUUACUCCUCCAGGAUGAAGGGCCCCAUUGUCUUCCUCACUCUGGCUCUGGUCAUCAUGUCUAUGGCUCAACCUGCAGAAGGCUUUCUGCAUCACAUUUUGAGAGGAAUUCAUGGCUGUGCGGGCGGGAUCCUGCGGUCGGGCCAAGCACAAGCUGAGGAUCAGGAUGCACAGGUGGUGUUUGUGGACAAACGCUCAGCAGACGACAACCCAGGGCCGGACUCCUCCAAGUGACCACUGUUACUUCUGUACUUCUUUCUGUGUUACUCAUAUCCAAAGUAUUGUGUAUAAAGGUCUUUGGAUUUAAUCAAUAAAGAGCAUUUACA